rnacentral:lncRNA from 1 species
CAACCAAUUAUGUCAGCCAGUUGUGAAUUAGUAGGUCCCGUAUGUACGAAUAAGAGAAAGAUUAUCCCUUUAUUCAUUCAGCCAUUAAAAAAAGAUACAAGUAAAUCGUAUUCACAAUAUUGAUAGACAGUUUAUUGAUAGUGAUUUAACCAAGGCAAUACCCACAAGACAGAUAGACAGUUAAUUGGAAGUGAUUUAACCAAGGCGACACAGU